rnacentral:rRNA from 1 species
GGAAGUAAAGUCGUAACAAGGUCUCCGUUGGUGAACCAGCGGAGGGAUCAUUACUGAGUUUACGCUCUACAACCCUUUGUGAACAUACCUAUAACUGUUGCUUCGGCGGGUAGGGUCUCCGCGACCCUCCCGGCCUCCCGCCUCCGGGCGGGUCGGCGCCCGCCGGAGGAUAACCAAACUCUGAUUUAACGACGUUUCUUCUGAGUGGUACAAGCAAAUAAUCAAAACUUUUAACAACGGAUCUCUUGGUUCUGGCAUCGAUGAAGAACGCAGCGAAAUGCGAUAAGUAAUGUGAAUUGCAGAAUUCAGUGAAUCAUCGAAUCUUUGAACGCACAUUGCGCCCGCCAGCAUUCUGGCGGGCAUGCCUGUUCGAGCGUCAUUUCAACCCUCAAGCUCUGCUUGGUGUUGGGGCCCUACAGCCGAUGUAGGCCCUCAAAGGUAGUGGCGGACCCUCCCGGAGCCUCCUUUGCGUAGUAACUUUACGUCUCGCACUGGGAUCCGGAGGGACUCUUGCCGUAAAACCCCCCAAUUUUCCAAAGGUUGACCUCGGAUCAGGUAGGAAUACCCGCUGAACUUAAGCAUAUCAAUAAGCGGAGGA